UUCUAAUGAAUUGGGCUUAAAAAAUAAAAUAAGAGAAAAUAAGGCCCAAGCCUAGUGAUGGCCGGCCAUGGUCCAUGUGCCUUAAGCCCAAGCCCAUAAUUUAAUAUAUCCAUGUGACUAAAUAUAUAUGUGCUCAUCCAUUAGAAGGUUCAAGAAAGAAAACAAAAAAAAUUGGAAAGCCCCCUCUAAGAGGCUCUCGGCCGAACCCUUUCAAAAAAAAAAAAAAUUCUAGUCCCUUUUGCUUGAUCCUAAAAUCUUUUUCCUCUUGAAUUCUUGUUAAGCUCAGGACGCUCUCCGACAUGAUAUAAUUGGUUUAGCGAGAGAGCAACGUUUGCGGCAAGAUUGAAGUUUGAAGAAAAGAUUUUGGCGAAUUUGAGGCUUGAUUUUGGAGACGUUUAGGAGGCGGAAAAGGUACAGACGUUGGUGAUCCACCACUGUAGGCCACACUUUCUGCUACUACAGAGUGCUCCCUUUUGAUUCGGAGCCCAUAUUUUGGUACAUAUUUCUGUUAUGUAUAUAUUUUUGUAUAUUUGGCUAUUUGGGGUACGGCGGGGCCCUGUCCCGCCAUAUGUUUCCGUUUUGGUGUGUAGAGGCCUGUAGUCAUAUAUGUGGCUCGUGGGUCCUAUGAGUGUUCGUUUUGUUUCCGAUUUGCGUCUUAAUGCGGUCUUAUUUGUUAUGGUGGCCAAAAUGGCCCAUGUGUUCGCAUAUGUACAUAUGAUUGGCGAUGUGUAUUCCGCCGCCCCUUUUGUUCCGAUAUGAUGCUUUUGAUACGCGUGACCGCUUAACAAAAUAAUUAUCUUCAGAAUUG